rnacentral:rRNA from 1 species
ACCUGCUCGGUGAAUAUAUUUUAACAGCCGCGGUACUCUGACCGUGCAAAGGUAGCAUAAUCAUUUGCCUUAUAAUUGAAGGCUAGUAUGAAUGGUUUGACGAGAAUUAAGCUGUCUCUUUUUAACUAAAUAUAACUUUAUUAAGAGGUGAAGAAGCCUGUAUUUUAUUGAAAGACAAGAAGACCCUAUCGAGCUUUAAAGAAUUUAGUAGAUUUACCAUAUACUAAUAAAAAAGUAAAGCAACUAAAUAUUUUGGUUGGGGCGACUGUGGAACAAACAAAGCUUCCUUUAUGCUAAUUAAAACUUACAAGUAUUGAUCCAAUUUAUUUGAUUAAAGAAAUUAGUUACCGUAGGGAUAACAGCAUAAUCUCCUUUGAGAGUUCUCAUCGAAAAGGGGGUUUGUGACCUCGAUGUUGGACCAGAAUACCCAGAAGAUGCAGCCGUCUUCAAUGGUUGGUCUGUUCGACCAUUAAAAUUCUACGUGAUCUGAGUUCAGACCGGCGUGAGCCAUGUCAGUUUCUAUCUUCAAUUUUUAUAGUGGCCUUAGU